GAUGAACGCUGGCGGCGUGCCUAAUACAUGCAAGUCGAGCGAACAGAUGAGGAGCUUGCUCCGCUGACGUUAGCGGCGGACGGGUGAGUAACACGUGGAUAACCUACCUAUAAGACUGGGAUAACUUCGGGAAACCGGAGCUAAUACCGGAUAAUAUAUUGAACCGCAUGGUUCAAUAGUGAAAGACGGUUUUGCUGUCACUUAUAGAUGGAUCCGCGCCGCAUUAGCUAGUUGGUAAGGUAACGGCUUACCAAGGCAACGAUGCGUAGCCGACCUGAGAGGGUGAUCGGCCACACUGGAACUGAGACACGGUCCAGACUCCUACGGGAGGCAGCAGUAGGGAAUCUUCCGCAAUGGGCGAAAGCCUGACGGAGCAACGCCGCGUGAGUGAUGAAGGUCUUCGGAUCGUAUAACUCUGUUAUUAGGGAAGAACAAAUGUGUAAGUAACUAUGCACGUCUUGACGGUACCUAAUCAGAAAGCCACGGCUAACUACGUG
rnacentral:rRNA from 1 species